rnacentral:rRNA from 1 species
AUUGAACGCUGGCGGCAGGCCUAACACAUGCAAGUCGAACGAGUGGCGGACGGGUGAGUAAUGUCUGGGAACCUGCCUGAUGGAGGGGGAUAACUACUGGAAACGGUAGCUAAUACCGCAUACCAUCGGAUGUGCCCAGAUGGGAUUGGCUAGUGGGUGGGGUAACGGCUCACCUAGGCGACGAUCCCUAGCUGGUCUGAGAGGAUGACCAGCCACACUGGAACUGAGACCCGGUCCAGACUCCGACGGGAGGCAGCAGUGGGGAAUAGUGCACAAUGGGCGCAAGCCUGAGACAGCCAUGCCGCGGGUAUGAAGAAGGCCGUCGGGUUGUAAAGUACUUUCAGCGGGGAGGCGUUACCCGCAGAAGAAGCACCGGCUAACUCCGUGCCAGCCGCCGCGGUAAUAC